CACCUGGUCCGACUAUCGAAGACGAGGCAUCUUGUCUCCCAUUUAACAUCAGAUGCCGGAGGCUUGCGGGUAAAUUAAUUUUAAAAUCUUUAGUUCAACCAAAUCAUGAUAGAUUCGAUACUUAUUAUUCUCUUUUUCUCACUUGGCGCUAUACUCCUAAAUCAAUUCUUGUCCUAUCAAUUACAGCUCACUCACUAUUUUCACCUAUACGUCAUUAAAUCUAGCAAACUUCAUCUUUACGAACAAUCAUACGAUUUCCUCUUAAAUGCCCCUUCGUUCAAACCGAUAAUCAGUUUUCACAUAUGUCUUCUAACAAACUUAAAUUAAUGUCACUCCCUAUGGUCAAUAUCUUUUUUUCUAAUUACCUUAAGCUGAAUUUUCCCAAUUUCUUAACCAUCUAUACCAACAACGGUUCAGUCUCAC